UUUCUGGUGUGUGGUUCAUAACUGCAGAGGAUCAGAGCGACGGGGGCAGAACUAACAAAUGUGCGGGGUCAAUUGGUUUCCCAAGGGGACGCUGUUGAGAAGCUGGCUCACCAAGUCGCGUCCCCGUCUGCUGCUGCUGAUCGCCGGACUCAAGCGGCCCCAGGUCACGCUAAUGCGUCGCAAACGGAUGAAGCGUACCAAAGUUGCCAAGACCACGUAAGCACCGAACCUACAGUCGGAUGCCCCAUUUCUCGUGAGCGCUGCGCCUUCCGGAUCCGUGCCGCCGAGAAAACGCUCCUCCGCCAUGUUGGAUCAGAGCCCCGCCCCCCACGGACAAACCCCGCCCCCAGGCCCCGCCCAGUCCAGGUCCGGUCCGGCCCACAGAGGUCCAGGCCCCCGGACUAAGGCCCAGACUGAACCCUCCU